AGCAUUCAAACUCUAAAAUCCUAAGCUUUAAAGCUCUCAUUUGAUCUUAUUUUUGUCUUCAAAGUUCUAAAGAUGCUUCAAGCUUUGUUGAAAGAGAAGUUUUCAAAAUUUGUGUGCUCAAGAGUACGUUUUCCACUUAUUCUUUCUUUUUCCUACUUGUCAGAGUGAGUAAGAAGAUCUAGCCACCAAGCUACUUUUUAUUUCAUUUGUAAGAGCUAUAAGUUGUUGUGAGAGAUGUGUCUCAAAAGCAUCAACUCCCGAGGUUAUAAGAGUUGAAUCAUAAGUAUAAGUCUACUUUAAACAACUUGAUCAGUUUUAUAUAAAGUUUCUUGAAAAAUUGUAGGUUAAAUCUACUUGUAAAAAUUCGAAGGUUUUUAAGAGUGUAUUAAUUAUAAUAUACUAGC
rnacentral:lncRNA from 1 species